rnacentral:rRNA from 1 species
CCUACGGGAGGCAGCAGUGAGGAAUAUUGGUCAAUGGGCGCGAGCCUGAACCAGCCAAGUAGCGUGAAGGAUGACUGCCCUACGGGUUGUAAACUUCUUUUAUAAAGGAAUAAAGUGAGGCACGUGUGCCUUUUUGUAUGUACUUUAUGAAUAAGGAUCGGCUAACUCCGUGCCAGCAGCCGCGGUAAUACGGAGGAUCCGAGCGUUAUCCGGAUUUAUUGGGGUUAAAGGGAGCGUAGAUGGGUUGUUAAGUCAGUUGUGAAAGUUUGCGGCUCAACCGUAAAAGUGCAAUUGAUACUGGCAGCCUUGAGUACAGUUGAGGUAGGCGGAAUUCGUGGUGUAGCGGUGAAAUGCUUAGAUAUCACGAAGAACUCCGAUUGCGAAGGCAGCCUACUAAACUGCCACUGACAUUGAUGCUCGAAAGUGUGGGGAUCAAACAGGAUUAGAUACCCCUGUAGUC